rnacentral:rRNA from 1 species
GGCGGCGUGCUUAACACAUGCAAGUCGAGCGGAAAGGCCCUUCGGGGUACUCGAGCGGCGAACGGGUGAGUAACACGUGAGUAACCUGCCCCUGACUCUGGGAUAAGCCUGGGAAACUGGGUCUAAUACCGGAUACGACAUCUUCCGGCAUCGGAUGGAUGUGGAAAGUUUUUUCGGUCAGGGAUGGGCUCGCGGCCUAUCAGCUUGUUGGUGGGGUAGUGGCCUACCAAGGCGACGACGGGUAGCCGGCCUGAGAGGGCGACCGGCCACACUGGGACUGAGACACGGCCCAGACUCCUACGGGAGGCAGCAGUGGGGAAUAUUGCGCAAUGGGCGGAAGCCUGACGCAGCGACGCCGCGUGGGGGAUGACGGCCUUCGGGUUGUAAACCUCUUUCAGCAGGGACGAAGUUGACGUGUACCUGUAGAAGAAGCGCCGGCUAACUACGUGCCAGCAGCCGCGGUAAUACGUAGGGCGCAAGCGUUGUCCGGAAUUAUUGGGCGUAAAGAGCUCGUAGGUGGCUUGUCGCGUCUGCCGUGAAAGCCCAUGGCUUAACUAUGGGUCUGCGGUGGAUACGGGCAGGCUAGAGGCUGGUAGGGGCAAGCGGAAUUCCUGGUGUAGCGGUGAAAUGCGCAGAUAUCAGGAGGAACACCGGUGGCGAAGGCGGCUUGCUGGGCCAGUUCUGACGCUGAGGAGCGAAAGCGUGGGGAGCGAACAGGAUUAGAUACCCUGGUAGUCCACGCUGUAAACGUUGGGCGCUAGGUGUGGGGGACUUCCACGUUCUCCGUGCCGUAGCUAACGCAUUAAGCGCCCCGCCUGGGGAGUACGGCCGC